rnacentral:rRNA from 1 species
GGUGGGUGUUGAAAGAUUUAUCGGUUUUGGAUGGACUCGCGGCCUAUCAGCUUGUUGGUGAGGUAAUGGCUCACCAAGGCGACGACGGGUAGCCGGCCUGAGAGGGUGACCGGCCACACUGGGACUGAGACACGGCCCAGACUCCUACGGGAGGCAGCAGUGGGGAAUAUUGCACAAUGGGCGCAAGCCUGAUGCAGCGACGCCGCGUGAGGGAUGACGGCCUUCGGGUUGUAAACCUCUUUCAGUAGGGAAGAAGCGAAAGUGACGGUACCUGCAGAAGAAGCACCGGCUAACUACGUGCCAGCAGCCGCGGUAAUACGUAGGGUGCGAGCGUUAUCCGGAAUUAUUGGGCGUAAAGAGCUCGUAGGCGGUUUGUCGCGUCUGUCGUGAAAGUCCGGGGCUUAACCCCGGAUCUGCGGUGGGUACGGGCAGACUAGAGUGCAGUAGGGGAGACUGGAAUUCCUGGUGUAGCGGUGGAAUGCGCAGAUAUCAGGAGGAACACCGAUGGCGAAGGCAGGUCUCUGGGCUGUAACUGACGCUGAGGAGCGAAAGCAUGGGGAGCGAACAGGAUUAGAUACCCUGGUAGUCCAUGCCGUAAACGUUGGGCACUAGGUGUGGGGACCAUUCCACGGUUUCCGCGCCGCAGCUAACGCAUUAAGUGCCCCGCCUGGGGAGUACGGCCGCAAGGCUAAAACUCAAAGGAAUUGACGGGGGCCCGCACAAGCGGCGGAGCAUGCGGAUUAAUUCGAUGCAACGCGAAGAACCUUACCAAGGCUUGACAUGUUCUCGAUCGCCGUAGAGAUACGGUUUCCCCUUUGGGGCGGGUUCACAGGUGGUGCAUGGUUGUCGUCAGCUCGUGUCGUGAGAUGUUGGGUUAAGUCCCGCAACGAGCGCAACCCUCGUUCCAUGUUGCCAGCACGUAAUGGUGGGGACUCAUGGGAGACUGCCGGGGUCAACUCGGAGGAAGGUGAGGACGACGUCAAAUCAUCAUGCCCCUUAUGUCUUGGGCUUCACGCAUGCUACAAUGGCCGGUACAAUGGGUUGCGAUACUGCUAACGGUGAAC